GACGAAACGCUGGCGGCGUGCCUAAUACAUGCAAGUCGAACGCUUCUUUUUCCACCGGAGCUUGCUCCACCGGAAAAAGAGGAGUGGCGAACGGGUGAGUAAACACGUGGGUAAACCUGCCCAUCAGAAGGGGAUAACACUUGGAAAACAGGUGCUAAAUACCGUAUAACAAAUCGAAAACCGCAUGGUUUUGAUUUGAAAAGGCACUUUCGGGUGUCGCUGAUGGAUGGACCCGCGGUGCAUUAGCUAGUUGGUGAGGUAACGGCUCACCAAGGCGACGAUGCAUAGCCGACCUGAGAGGGUGAUCGGCCACAUUGGGACUGAGACACGGCCCAAACUCCUACGGGAGGCAGCAGUAGGGAAUCUUCGGCAAUGGACGAAAAGUCUGACCG
rnacentral:rRNA from 1 species